rnacentral:lncRNA from 1 species
AUCAUGCCACUGUACUCCAGUCUGGCCAAAGAGCAAGAAUCCGUCUCAAAAAAAAAAUCAAAUCAAAUCAACGUGCCAUCUUAUUGUUUAUCACGAUUCUGUGCGUCAGGAGUUUGGACAGGGCAUAUCAGCAUAUCAGGGACAGUUUGUCCCUAAUCCAUCCCCCGCCCCUACAAAAAAAAGAAAAGAAAAGAAAAAGAAAGAAUCUUCCAUUCGAACCAUAGGGGGCUUACCUGGAGACCCUCCCAUAAAUAAUGAAAGCCACUACCGGCUGUAAUCUUCCAGUAACAAAUAAAAGAUCCCCUAACGUCUCAACUCCAUUUUAAAUCACAGUAAAGUGAUCAUUAAACUAUCUUAUUAAGAAGAAAUUAAUUACCAAAUUAUCUAUAUAGUUCAGAAUGUGUGACUUCGGAGUGAAAAGAAAUAUGUAGAAUUUUUCUCACCAUGAAAAUCUCAAAGUUAAAUGUUAAAGAAGGUGUACUCUAUAUUGUUGAUAAUUCAAGCCCAUCUCCUAAAUGUGUUUUCAUAUGAUCUGUGUUUUCAGCGAUAAAGAAAAGCUAAGUCAAAUCAUAGCCAUGUGAGGAAGCACACACAUCCAUGAUGGUCUCUUGGGUUUUCUGGCUACAGUAUGUUCCUUAAUGACAAUCAGUGAACCAUGGGACCCAUGGCAUAGCCUGGCACUUACACACCUGCGGAGAUCCUGCCAAACUGUGCCGUCUACUAAAGAGUACAGUCAGCCCAUGUUCCAAGACAAUGGGCCAAUUCCACCGAGCUGGGACCUCUUCUGGAAAUGCUUGAGGCCAUGCUGUAUUUAACUUCCCGGGGCCAGGGCCUGCCUGACACUCAGUGGGCACACAACAACUGGAUGAAUGAAUGGAUGAGUCAACAGUGGGGCUGGGGUGGGAAGGUUAUAAGAAGGUAGUGGGAGAAGAUGCUGAAACAGGCAACUAGAAAUGCAUUUCUAAGGACCUGAUAUGCAGAGAAGAGUGGCAAGUGUGAAGUUGUCCUUAAGGCAAUGGGGGGUUAUUCAAAUUGAAUAGAGAAGUGAAGAGAUCUAUGCUUUGGAAAGAUACCUGGGGUGGUUAGAAGAUACAGGUCAUUUCUACCUGGACACUCAAGAAAGGGAGUGUGCAGGGGUGUGGGGAGCGGAGGGGCUGGGAAAGAGCCUCAGGGGCUGAACUCAGCAGCCUGGUUCCAGCGGUUUCCCGAGAAGCACACAUAUAUUUUGUUUUGAGACUCCCAUAUCUAAAACUGUCCCUCUACCCUUUUACUGGAUUAGUAUUUUGGCAGCACACAGAAUUCUAGGCUAAUUAUGUGUCAUCUGAUGAUUCUAAGCUACCAAAAUGAGUUCUGAUAAGGUGAUACAAGCUCAGUGAUACAGUUUUAGCUAAACUCCGAAAAUUUCUUUAAUGUACGUUCCAUCUUCCCAUAAGCACGGCGACCCCACAAGGAGAAAUUCAUUAUCCUUGUUCUAGAAGAGGCUUUCAUCAUUUUUUUUGCCACUACCUUUAAAAUCAGCACUUAGCUAUUCACCCCAAAUCUACCGAUUCCCACCCAUCCUUCACAUGGAUGCUGCAUUUAUGAACAAGUCUGGUCCAGCUACUUCCACAUUUCAACAGGACAAAUUCUAAACCAUCAGAGUAAUUUUCCAAUCAGAACAAAUACUAACAAGGAAGUGACACACAGCAGUCCGUCCUCUGCUUCCUAACAGGACUCUAUGAGAACAUGGUGAUGUCCUACCACAAAGAAAGCAACACCUGAUUAUCAAUAACUUCUCUGGUCCGGCCAAGGAUGAGCAAGGAACAAAGAGCUUUUAGAACAUUAAGCAUACAUCUAAAUUUAUUUGACCUGAGGAUCCAGCCUGGCCUCUCAAGAGCAGACGCUCACAUGAUAAAACGUGCUGGGAACUCACCAUGUACUCAGCAAAGGGAAGCAAAGGGGUAUUAAUCAAUGUUUUGAUUAAUUACACGUACAUAGAAUUUAAGACAAAGUAAAGGCUCUUCCAUCCCCGCAAGUCCCCAGAGAAAAUUUAUAACAGCAAAGUAUCAUCAUUACUAAAUUAGAGCGUGACCAGGUAUGUACUGGGGUUAACACUUAACUCGGGGCGGGGUGGGAGGAAGGACUAUGACACUUCUCAGUGGCCGUGAAUUAUUAAGGCUUUAUCUCCUGGCAGACAGAGAAAUCUAGGCUGACAAUAACAGAGCAAAGUACAUUUAUUUUUCUUUUUUGUCUUUAAGAAAUAGGUUCAGAAGGUAGGAAAAUAAAUGUUGUUUAAAAAGCUUUCUAUGGUAACUCGUCCUGGAAAGGACGUCAUUACACCUAUGAUUUAAGAGGACAGCUUUUUAUGCUUCCGCUAAUACAACUCACUUUUGGCUGGCACAAAAUGAUCUCACAGGAAUUCUUUCAGUCAUCAGGGCACCAAACACAGGCUAUACCGAUGCAAACCUCCUUUCGUUGAGGGUGACACACCCCAUGACAAAAUCCUGUGCCAAAGAGUGUGCUACAGUCUGGGACAGGAAUCCCAAAUUGGUUACUGCUCAUCACUGGUUGGUUCCUGGACACCUGCAGGACCUGUGGGCUCUGUCCCCACUCACCUUCUCUGUUCCCCAGCUGGCUGCAGGCAGACAGGACAAUCUCCGAUGCCCCUUCUGUUCACCCAGUCCUUUUGCUUUGUCACUACUCCUGGAGCUUUCUCUCAAACUUUCCCAGAAUUUACAGGGGAAUCUCUUCCAUAAAAAAAAAUAAAUUUGGCUCUCAGAAGGGAGCUCCAGCUUUCCCCAAACUGACAUUUUGGCACCAGAGAGGGGUGGUGGCUUCGUUUUUGUAGCCUGGUGACAAGCACAGGAGGUGAAUGAAUGGGCGAGUGAAUGCAGGCGCCAAUCACUCAGAUCAACCCACCGCAGAGAUCUCGCUCAUCUGAAUUCUCUUUCACAAGAUAAAAAGGUUAGUAAUUACUUUAGGACUGCAUCUGUUUUCUAC